UUAAAGAAUUUGAAGACUUCAUCUUGCAGACUUAAAGAAUUUGAAGACUUCAGCUUGUAUACUUGGAGGAUUUGAAAACUUCAAUU
rnacentral:pre_miRNA from 1 species